UAAUAAUAACCAUAAUGAUUUUUUCCAAUCUCCGGAGUUAAGCAUUAGGUACCGAUCCGGUAAAUCCACUAUCUACCUAAAAUUCUAAUUCCUAGUCCGAUAAUUGAAAUAAUGUAUAUUCCUAAUGAUUGAAAACAGUGCUUUUCGAGUCAUUUAUCGAUAGAUAGGACAAGAAAAUAUAAUUCAAUAUACUAAUGAACUACAAAAUCCACGUUCGGAAAUUGUCCCU